GGCCCCGUAGCUCAGCUGGAUAGAGCACCUGCCUUCUAAGCAGGUUGUCGCAGGUUCGAAUCCUGCCGGGGUCGCCA
rnacentral:tRNA from 1 species